AGCUCCAAUAGCGUAUAUUAAAGUUGUUGCGGUUAAAAGCUCGUAGUUGGAUUUCUGUUGAGGACAGGCGGUCCGCACUACGUGCGUGUAUCUGUUUUGGCCUCGGCAUCCUCUCGAUGAACAUUGCUGUGCUUGAUUGCAUGGCGUGGUGAUCGGGACUUUUACUUUGAGGAAAUUAGAGUGUUCACGGCAGGCUUACGCCCUGAAUAUAUUAGCAUGGAAUAAUAAUAUAGGAUCUGAUGCCUAUUUUGUUGGUUUCUAGGUGUUAGAUAAUGAUUAAUAGGGACAAUUGGGGGGGAUUCGUAUUACGGCGUCAGAGGUGGAAUUCUUGGAUUGCCGUACGACGAAACUACU
rnacentral:rRNA from 1 species